GUUUACAUAGGAGGACAUGAAGGCCAGGAAAACCAAGGCACCGGCCGGGGUCACACCGCGGGGCAGACCCAGGGCCUGAGCCCCGCCGCCGCCCCCGGGACUCAUACUGGCCGGAGUCCUCAGCAGGGCCUCACCGUCCCCGCAGGCGCCCCGCGUCGCUGGUGAGCGGGCAACGGCCGCCGACCUCUGGGGACGACACUGCCCAGAAUCGUCCCGGAGCCUGGGAGUCGCCGUCAGGCCUGAGGCUACAGCGGGGCGGACCCAGUGCGCCGCCCACAGCCGAUCGACAUUUCCCAGAAUCAUCCGCGCAGGGGACAAAAUUCCAGGCGCAACGAACCGCAGGUACCGGAAGACCACACUUCCCAGGAGUCUCUGCGGCCGCGCGGACCUGGGGCGCCGCGGGCAAACAGAUCUCGGUUUCCUAAAAAACUAAACCGCCUGGGGCUGUCGUCCCAGAGCCCGGCAGUUAGGACCAUGCGGGAAGUGUCCUGGGGCAUAUAGUCAUACUGAUGAGGUGAAAGAUACACCUCGGAACCAAGGGCCACCCUCUACUUUUAAGGACAAUGGCGCCGGGACCAAGAAACUACACUUCCCAGAAAACCGUGCGGCCGUGGCAAACUCUUCUGGGUCUAGCGUGCGCUCACACUAAUGUUUAUCUCCCGGGACGUGGGCAGACCUUGUACCAGGCGAGCUCUCGCCUUUGCUAGCAAAAGAGCUCCUCUCUUCCCAAACCCUGCUACUACGCUGUCCACCCUGUAUGGUCUUUGAGGUCUUUGAGGUUUUUUUGGAAUUCACUUGCUGGAGACUACAGCUCACAGAACGCCCUGGGCUGGAUUGUGCCAGCUGUAGUUCGCGAACCAAGGACAUUUCCUGGAAAUGCAUGCGGCCACGUAUCUGUGACAGAAAUGGCAGUUCUCACGUGCGUUACGCCCCCUGGAAGGACUUGGAAAUACGGAACUUGAGUGAGCACUGAGAGGACACAGACCCUCAUCCUGGGAGGAGUCACUCCUCCCGCAGCCAUCAGAGCCUGACAACCGCUUCUCACCAGAGGCGCUUCUUAGACCCUGACCUUGCCCGGCUCACCCAAAGGGGCAAUGGCCUUCUUUGUAUGCAAGCCAGACAGUCUACUGUUGUAUAUUUGAAUUUUUUACUUUAUUUUUAAUAUUUUAAUUAAAUUUUAAUUUAAUGCUGCCUCUACCUCUGAGAGAGACAGGGAGAGAUGGGGGAGGCCUGGAGUGGGGGCCCUGCGGGGCAGGGACAGGGGACCCUUCCUCACUUUGCACAAUCUGGGAACCCUCCCCAAGCGGAACAGCCAGCUGCAGUGGAAAAGCACUGGCUUAGUGGGCUUCGUCCUGGGGACGAAGGCUGGGAGACUGCAGCUGAAAGGUGUGGGCUCCAGGAGGGCCGCAGGGGGCCUAGCAGCAGCGUCAGGGAGCAGAAGUCCGCCCUCCCUCCAUCUUCCUUCCUUCUCUGGCCGCCAGAGCGCUCUGUCUCCCUCCCACGCCCACAGCUACAGGUGGAGCCGGCUUGGGGCGGGGGGGGGGUCCUCCUAGGGCGAAGAGGGC
rnacentral:lncRNA from 10 species